GGAUAGCGAGAUACAAUCCAUGUAUGACAAUCAAGUUUGGAACUUGGUUGAAAAUGUACCAGGUCGUAAGACAGUAGGGUGCAAAUGGGUCUUCAAGAAGAAGACCGACAUGGAUGGUAAAGUACACACUUAUAAGGCUAGACUGGUUGCAAAGGGCUUCUCUCAAAUUCCUGGAGUGGAUUAUGAUGAGACCUUUUCUCCGGUAGCCAAGAUUAAGUCUAUUCGGGUUCUGUUAGCCAUAGCUGCAUUUCAUGACUAUGAAAUAUGGCAGAUGGAUGUCAAAACCGCUUUCCUUAAUGGAAAGUUGGCUGAAGAUGUUUACAUGAGUCAGCCAGAGGGUUUUGUCAGCAACGAGUACCCUAAUAGAGUGUGUAAGCUUGAGAAAUCCAUUUAUGGAUUGAAGCAAGCACCUCGCAGAUGGAAUCUUUGCUUUGAUGAAAAGGUCAAGGAAUUUGGCUUUUCUAGGAGUGAAGAUGAAUCUUGUGUGUAUGUCAAGGCUAGUGGGAGUAUAGUUAGCUUUUUGGUAUUGUAUGUGGAUGACAUACUACUCAUAGGAAACGACAUUCCAACCCUGCAGGAAGUAAAGUCCUGGCUUGGGAAGUGUUUCGCUAUGAAGGACCUUGGUGAAGCUGCCUAUAUUCUAGGGAUAAGAAUCUUGAGAGAUCGGAGUAAAAGACUAAUUGGACUUAGUCAGAGUACCUACUUGGAUAAGGUGCUGAAGAGAUUCAGCAUGCAGGAUUCCAAGAAAGGAGAGUUACCCAUCCAGAGUAACACCAGAUUGAGUAAGACACAAAGCCCUAGCACUGAGGCUGAGAUAGCAGAAAUGAGUCGAACACCUUACGCUUCGGCUGUAGGAUCGAUCAUGUAUGCUAUGACGUGUACUCGACCCGAUGUAGCUUUUGCCUUGAGCAUGGUUAGCAGGUAUCAGGCGAACCCUGGCAAGGCACACUGGACUGCGGUAAAGAAUAUCCUCAAGUACCUACGGAGGACUAAGGACUGGGUCCUUACCCUCGGUGGGAGUGAUGACUUGAGAGUUGUAGGGUAUAGUGAUGCUAGCUUCCAGACUGAUAGGGAUAAUUUCCGCUCUCAGUCGGGCUGGGUCUUUACCCUAAACGGAGGAGCAAUUUCUUGGAAGAGUUCCAAGCAAGAGACAGUGGCAGAUUCUACUUGUGAAUCAGAGUAUAUUGCAGCUAGCGAAGCAGCAAAGGAGGCGAUAUGGCUGAAGAACUUCAUUGGAGACCUUGGAGUUGUACCAGCUAUUAAAGAGCCAAUGGAAAUUUUCUGUGAUAGUGAAAGUGCUGUUGCCUUAGCCAAGGAACCAAGGGAUCAUGGGAGAUCCAGACACAUCGACAGAAAAUACCAUUUCAUUAGACAUCGGAUCGAAGAAGGACUCCUCGUGGCAAAGAGGGUAUCAUCGGAUGAGAACCCAGCAGAUCCCCUCACGAAGGGACUGAGUAGGGUUAAGCAUCUCCAGCAUGCUCGGAGCAUAGGGCUGAAGGAUGAUAUAAGUUUUAGUAGUUAGAUAACCCAGAAAUUUGUAAAGUGUAAUUGACAUUUGAUGAUGAAUAAAAGGUGUUUUAUUUAUGAGUAAAGUGUUGCUAUCUCUUGUCAAUCGUUUACUAUAUUUCUUUUGCAUGUUUUGACUUCCAGAAUAAUUUUGUUUGGUGUAACAUAUUAUUCAAACCUCCACAGUCGGUCAUAUGUCGGAAGUAGGUAUGAAUCAAGACUGUCAUGAUGGGUUGUAGAGGUCUAAGGUGUUGGACAAGGCUACAACAAUCAUGAGUGCUCAUAAGUUCUGAGCAUUGGACUCAACCCACGCUCACUGGAAUCACUUCAUGGAAUUCUAUCUCGAGUGAUCGUGAGACGGUAAUAUCAUAUAAGUCUUCAAACCUAGAGAUAUGAUUUGUUACUUACAAGUUGGUUAUGCAUUGACUGUACGAAACCGCAUUGGUAACUCGAUGUUAUAAAACGUACUUUUGUGUGUAAUUCAAUGAGUGGUAGAACAAACAUAUGAGUCGAAGUUUAUCUGUUCCUUCUUGGAUUAGAAGCUGAUAUCUGGGCCCCUCGAUGAUUUUGUUUUGACCCAUGUACCGGGCCCGGUCAGAACUAAGUUGAUGUGUUCAAUUAAGUUCUAUGUCAAACAAAUCGGAAAUCGGGAAACAAAUGCUGGACAAUAAGCAAGACAAUGUUCCAUGUAUUUGUCCGGCUGAUAUCUAGAACGGAGGAUUAUAUGAUCACUUAUCUUAAAUGGCGUACCAUCAUCUUCUCAGUUCCGAGAGACCUUGAAAGAGCUACGAUUGCCGGUCGGUUCCUGAAGUACUAGAGAUAUAGUUAUUAGACUUAUCCAAGUGGGAGACUGUUGGAUAAGGUGUCUAAGUCCAUAACUAUUUCGGGCUUGUACUUGACCCGACCCGGCAUGGUCCAUUUGGGUUGCAUGGCACCAUGCAAUUGGAUAGACUAAAUGAGAGAAAUAACACUUGGAGAUUAUUAAUAUAUUAUAAGUUCUAAUAUAUUAAUAAUAUUAUUUGAUUAGUUGAUCAAAGAAUUAAUUUGGAAUUAAUUAAGUGAUCAAAGGAUAACUAAUUAAAUAUAUGGGUUGAUUAUGUAAAUCAUCCAUAUCUUGUAUAGUGGGCUAAGAGGCUCCAUGGAUUAUCAAGUUGGGUUCUACCCAUAGGAUGCUCCAUGGAUGCUCCAUGGGAGUUACAAACCCAUGGGUCAUGGAAAUGAAGAGUCAUGACACAUUAGGGUUUACAUGGUGUAACCCUAGAUGUGUCAACACUAUAUAAGAAUCAUAUUCUCCACCAAAAUCGGCUACACUAAGAAACUAGAGGGCUUGGCCGAUUUUGAGAAGUGUGUGUUAUCUCAAGAGUCUUUCCAAGAGCAUUUGGUGUUGUGUGAAGCAUUUGAGGCAUCACACUUGGGGUGCUAGGCUCACAAGGUUUCAAGGAACACAAGCAACAACAAGGUAAGUUAUUCUAUCUAUGAUUCAAGUUAAAAUUGUUCCCCAUGUAUGCUAGAUAGGAAUAUAACCUUGGAAUUCAACUUUGCAUGAUAAUUAGACAAACAUAGAUCCAAGGUUAUUAGGGUUGCAUGUACACUUAGGAAGUGUUAGAAUGCUCAAAACCCAUCAGUGGUAUCAGAGCCUAGGCUUGUUUGUUUGUUAUUUGUGCUUAAAAGUUGAAGAAAGUCGAAAAUCUUGCUGUCUGACUGAUGGACUCGGCGAGUCCAUGGGGAGGACUCGUCGAGUUCAUGUGUAUCUUCAACCUACUCGGCGAGUAGGUUUAUGCACUCGGCGAGUAGGGUCGACAGAGUGCAGAAUUUCGACUUGAGUUGCUGGAAAUGGAUUAGAAUCAUUACCCUAAAAUGUUUUGGUACUUGAAAACUUAUUUUAGAAGGUGUAAUGUCUUUUCUAACUCAUUUACAACAACUAGUUAUCAAAAUUACAAAGAUUAAAUGUGAUUUUGAUUCUUGAAAGUGUUCAUAUUCAUAUUCUUGUUCUUAUGAUGUUUAGAUGAUCAUAGGAAUUAUUUGUAACCUAUGUGGUAGAUUAAUUCAUGAUCAUAAUGUGUUUUAAUGGAGUCCAUAACUUGUCCUCAAGUUAUGGAAAACCAAAAGUCUCUUGGAUUAAAAACCAUUAAAAGAACACAAGAGUUAGGAAAAAUGAAAAGUCCUCAUUUUAUUACUCUAUUAAACUCAUAAGUUACAAGAAAUGAAAAGUUUUGAAAGUUUACAAAACUUGCCCUCAAGUUUUGGAACAAGUAAAGUUAAGUUAAAACUUUAGUUCCAACCCCUAGAAUUUUAAAAGUUAAAAUUCAACCCUUAUACUUAUAUUAUUAUGAUUUAAUAAUUAUAUAUAUAUGUAUAAGAACAAAGUCGUCUUACCGCUAGUACGCCUCAUUCACGAAGCCGGUCUAUAAGGUGGGUAUAAGGUUGUUGCCUAUAAAAUGGUGACUUAAUGGGUGUCCACUCUCACCCACCGCUUGCUUGAUCGGUGGAGGGUCGUUAGCCGAACGGGUAAGACAAGGACUUAUUAAUUCUCAUUCAAAGUAUGAUGAAUAUUAUAAAGUAACUAAAUGUUUUAUUAAAUUCCCAAUCUUAGUUACUUUAGGAAAAAUGUGAAUAAGGUGCUAUUCCAUGAAAUUACACUUUACACUUUGAUUAAGUCGUUGGUGGAGCGUGUGUGGUUAACCGGCACACUAACUUGGACUUAACAAGGUAGGUAAAGGGUGACUUAGGGUUUAUUAUAGUAUCGAUGGAGCGUGUGUGGUUAACCGGCACAUCGAUUGAGUGAUAAACUUUAAGGGUACCAAGUGAUUUGCAUGGUUACUUCACACCUCGUUUUGUGAUCCUCGGUAUCCCAGUCACAAAACUUGGAGGGCACACUCGAGAUUGAAACAUGCCUUUGAAAAGUUCAUUGAAUCUCAAAGAAUCUAGGAAUUUCUAAGAACCAUUCAAAAACCUAAUACUAAAAUAUUGCGGUUUUCGUGGUGGAAAUUGGUGAAUCGUCAUUCACCUACCUUUCAAAUAUGAUAUAGCUUAGAUUACGGCAUACCUCUUCUAAGUUAUAUUAUAUUGUGAUUGGAUCCUAGCCUUAAUAUUACAUUUGGGUGUUUUAUUAAGGACUCUCUUAUAUCUAAACUAAUCUUGUCCUCUUUCCUUCAGAUGUCUUUCAACAAUGCUUCUGGCUCUAAUCCUAAUGGCUCCUUUACCCUUAUGAACUUGUGUGGGAAAGUCACCUUUGAUGGAUCCAACUUCAAUGAGUGGAUCAGAAACAUCAGGAUGAUUACCCGCUACGAGGACAAAGAAUAUGUCCUUGACAAGGAGCUUAAGGAGAUUGAUGAGUCCACUGCAACUCCUCAGGAGAUCGCUGAAUUUCGGGCACAUGAAAGGGAUGCUACGAAAGUGGCUUGCAUCAUGAUGGCCACGAUGACAGCGGAACUCCAAAAGUCUUAUGAGGAUUUCUACCCUUAUGAAAUGCACCAAGAUUUGAUGGAAAGAUACCAUCAAAGUGCAAGACAAGAGAGGUAUGAAAUCAUCUGCUCCAUGAUAACAACCAUGAUGAAGGACGGGGAAUCCGUCACGAGCCACAUGCAGAAAAUGCAAAGGUAUGUGGAUCGUUUGCUGAAGCUUAAUGUGAACUUCCCGGAGGAUCUUGCAAUAGAUAUUAUUUUGCAUUCCUUACCAUCGUGCUAUGAUCAAUUCCGCAUGACAUAUCACAUGAACAAGGAAGAAGUCACCCUCAGCAAACUUCAGGGACUUCUCAAGACCGCAGAAUCAGGUCUUAAGGGGAAGUCGGUUGCUAUCACUCCUACUCAAAACUCUACUCCGGUUUUGGCAAUCGGGAAAAGUCGAGGGAGGAAGAGAAAGAGCUCUUCUAAGGGUACCAAGGUUCGGACCCUUGAUGGCUCUUCUUCAAGUGGAACCAAGAAAGGUUUCAUUACUCCUUCUUCUGACCCAAAAGAGGCUGAAUGCUUCUAUUGCCAUGAAAAAGCUCAUUGGAAGCGGAACUGCCCAAAAUACCAGCAAGAUGUGAAGGAUGGGAAAGUUAAACCCAACCAUGCAGGUAUUUACACUAUCAUUUCUAAUAACUCACCCCAUUCUAAUUCUUGGGUCCUUGAUACCGGGUGUGGUAUUCACAUUUGUUGUGACUUGCAGGGACUAAGAAGAAGUGAGGAUGUGGAGCAAGGAAGGAUAAACUUGAUCAUGGGGAAUAGGAAAGCUAUACCUGUUACCAAGAUUGGAGUUUAUACUUUAUCGCUAAGUAGUGGGUUUAGUUUAGAUUUGAAUAAGUGUUGUUAUUCGCCAGGAAUGGCAAGAAAUAUUAUUUCCUUUCAUGCUUUGUACAAACAAGGGUUUACCUUUUCAUUUAAUAAUGAAGUUGGUUCUAUAGAUGUUUUCUAUAAUAAUGUCUUUUAUUUUAAAGCAUUACCUUGUGAUGGUGUGUAUGAAGCUGUAUCUGUUGUAGAUAACUUGGGAAAUAAUGUUUUGUGUAUUGAUUCUACUAAUAAUAACUUGGAUAAAGCAUCUUUAUGGCAUUGUCGUCUUGGACAUAUAAGCAAGAAACGCAUAGGCCAACUCCAAAAGGAUGGAGUCUUGGAAUCAUUUGACCUAAAGUCAGAUGAUAGUUGCGAAUCAUGCUUACUUGGAAAAAUGACAAAGUCACCCUUCACAGGUUCUUGUGAAAGGGGUGAAGGUUUGUUGGAUCUUGUACACACGGAUGUGUGUGGACCCUUCAAACAUGCCACAAGGGAUGCUAAUCAUUAUUAUUUGACUUUCACUGAUGAUUACAGUAGAUAUGGAUAUGUCUACUUAAUCAAGCAUAAGUCAGAGACUUUUGAAAGGUUUAAAGAGUUUAAACAUGAAGUCGAGAAUCAAUUGGGCAGGAACAUUAAGAUGUUUCGAUCCGAUCGAGGUGGUGAGUAUAUUAGUCCAGAGUUCCUCGACUAUCUUAGGGAACGUAGGAUUGUCUCGCAAUUGACACCUCCCAGGACACCACAGUUGAAUGGUGUGGUUGAGAGGCGUAAUUGAACCUUUUCGGAUAUGGUUCGUUCCAUGAUGAGUCGAGCUUCGCUACCAAUCUCGUUUUGGGGGUAUGCCUUAGAGAUUGCCGCCCAUAUCCUUAAUCUAGUCCCUACAAAGAAAGUUGCCAAAACUCCUCAUAAGAUGUGGACUGGUAAAGUACCCAAACUAGAUCACAUCAAGAUUUGGGGUUGCGACGCUUUCGUGAGACGCGAGACUCAUGAUAAGCUCGAACCUCUAAGUGAGAGGUGUAUUUUCAUCGGCUACCCACAGAAAUCCUUUGGUUACCUCUCUACAGACCUAGUGAAAAUGUGGUCUUUGUAUCUAGGAGGGUUGUAUUUCGAGAGAGAGAAUUCAUAAGCCAAGGAAACAAUGGGAGGCAAGUUGACCUCGAAGAAAUUCAAGAGUCAAGUGGUGAAGGAACUUCAAACCUAAGCACUCAACUUGAGGAGAAAACUCCUGUUGAGCCAAUUGACAAGUCUGUACCUCUGAGGCGUUCAACGAGAGUUAGCAAUGCACAUGAGCGUUACUAUGGAUUCCAUAUUACUGCGGAAGGUGAUACCUUUAUCAAUGAUGAGACACUGAUAGGUUUGGACGAACCUAACAGUUACGUGGAAGCCAUAGCAGGCCCGGAGUCAGCCAAGUGGAAAGAGGCAAUGGACAGCGAGAUAUAGUCCAUGUAUGACAAUCAAGUUUGGAUCUUGGUUGACAAUGUACCAGGUCGUAAGACAGUUGGGUGCAAGUAGAUCUUCAAGAAGAAGACCGACAUGGAUGGUAAUGUACACACUUAUAAGGCAGGACUGGUUGCAAAGGGCUUUUCUCAAACUCCGGGAGUUGAUUAUGAUGAGACCUUUUCUCCAGUAACCAAGAUUAAGUCUAUU
rnacentral:lncRNA from 1 species